ensembl:snoRNA small nucleolar RNA SNORA79
CGACAACUGUUCCUCCUGCUGCUUUAAGCUUCUAGCAUGUCAGGAUUUUAGGUUGUCGCAGAGUAAACAGGGUCUACUUCACCCAGUGCAUAGAAGGUAGCGGGGCUGCCCCUCUGAGCUCUGGUUUUUGCGGAACCCUACAUAA